rnacentral:rRNA from 1 species
UACAGAGACCUCAAGCGUUAUCCGGAUUUAUUGGGCGUAAAGCGUCAGUAGGUGGGACAGCGGGUUGGGAGUUAAAACUUCGCGCUCAACGCGAAGAUUGCUUUCAAAACUACUGUUCUUGAGGAUGGGAGAGGUAAGCGGAAUUGCUGGUGUAGUCGUAAUAAGCGUUGAUAUCAGCAAGAACACCAAAUGCGAAGGCAGCUUACUGGAACAUUCCUGACACUGAAUGACUAAAGCGUGGGGAGCAAACAGG